rnacentral:rRNA from 1 species
UUUUAAAUUGAGAGUUUGAUCCUGGCUCAGGACGAACGCUGGCGGCGUGCCUAACACAUGCAAGGCGAGCGAUGAUGCUUCAUUCCGG